rnacentral:rRNA from 1 species
UAUUGACUUUCAAUUAAUACCAAAUAUAAUAAAGAACCCUUAAACAAUAUUGAGUAAUUCUAUAUAAGUAUAGAAGAUUUUAUGUUAAAACUAGUAACAAGAAGAAGAACUUCUCCUACAAUGCAAAUGUAAAUCAGAUAGGACACCCCACUGAUAAUUAUCACCAAUGAACACAAAGUAGCAACCAAACAAGAAAACCCUACUACACUGUGUGUUAACCUAACACUAGAGCAUUUCAAGAAAGAUUAAAAGAAAAAGAAGGAACUCGGCAAAUAUUAACCUCGCCUGUUUACCAAAAACAUCGCCUCUUGAAUAAAUAUAAGAGGUCCAGCCUGCCCAGUGACCAUGUUCAACGGCCGCGGUAUCCUAACCGUGCGAAGGUAGCGUAAUCACUUGUUCUUUAAAUAAGGACUAGUAUGAACGGCACCACGAAGGUUAUACUGUCUCCUUUUUCUAAUCAGUGAAACUAAUCUCCCCGUGAAGAAGCGGGGAUAAAUAUAUAAGACGAGAAGACCCUAUGGAGCUUCAAACUACAGAGCACUUGCCCUAUAUAAUCAAAUUUCAGAAGACCCACUACUACCCAAGCAAGAUGACCCCUAGUUUUAGGUUGGGGUGACCGCGGAGCAAAAAAAAACCUCCACAUUGAAAGGAAUCCUACUCCUUAGCCAAGAGCCACACCUCCACGCACCAAUAAAAAGACAUUAAUUGACCCAAUAUUUUGAUCAACGAACCAAGUUACCCUAGGGAUAACAGCGCAAUCCACUUCAAGAGCCCCUAUCGACAAGUGGGUUUACGACCUCGAUGUUGGAUCAGGGUAUCCCGGUGGUGCAGCCGCUACCAAAGGUU